rnacentral:rRNA from 1 species
AUUGAACGCUGGCGGCAGGCCUAACACAUGCAAGUCGAGCGGAUGAAGGGAGCUUGCUCCUGGAUUCAGCGGCGGACGGGUGAGUAAUGCCUAGGAAUCUGCCUGGUAGUGGGGGAUAACGUCCGGAAACGGGCGCUAAUACCGCAUACGUCCUGAGGGAGAAAGGGGGGGCUCUUCGGAACUCACGCUAUCAGAUGAGCCUAGGUCGGAUUAGCUAGUUGGUGGGGUAAAGGCCUACCAAGGCGACGAUCCGUAACUGGUCUGAGAGGAUGAUCAGCCACACUGGAACUGAGACACGGUCCAGACUCCUACGGGAGGCAGCAGUGGGGAAUAUUGGACAAUGGGCGAAAGCCUGAUCCAGCCAUGCCGCGUGUGUGAAGAAGGUCUUCGGAUUGUAAAGCACUUUAAGUUGGGAGGAAGGGCAGUAAGUUAAUACCUUGCUGUUUUGACGUUACCAUCAGAAUAAGCACCGGCUAACUUCGUG